UACGUAGGGGGCAAGCGUUGCCCGGAUUUAUUGGGCGUAAAGGGCGCGUAGGCGGCCUUGCAAGUCGGUUGGUGAAAGCCCGGGGCUCAACCCCGGAGGUGCGGCCGAGACUGCAGGGCUGGAGGCCAGUAGGGGGAUGCGGAAUUCCUGGUGUAGCGGUGAAAUGCGCAGAUAUCAGGAGGAACACCGAUGGCGAAGGCAGGUCUCUGGGCCAUAACUGACGCUGAGAAGCGAAAGCAUGGGGAGCGAACAGG
rnacentral:rRNA from 1 species